rnacentral:misc_RNA from 1 species
GAUGAAGAACGCAGCGAAAUGCGAUAAGUAAUGUGAAUUGCAGAAUUCAGCGAAUCAUCGAAUCUUUGAACGCACAUUGCGCCCCCCGGCAUUCCGGGGGGCAUGCCUGUCCGAGCGUCAUUGCACCCCUCGAGCCCGCGCGGGUUUCGGUGUUGGGCCGCCGUCCCCCGGGGGGGGGGACGGGCCCGAAAGGCAGUGACGGCCCCGGGGCGACUUCCCGCGCGAUCGCAGCACCUCGCGGCCGAAGCGUUCGCCCCGCGGGCCCGCCUGGACCACCAGUGUGACGUACCGGUUGACCUCGGAUCAGGCAGGGAUACCCGCUGAACUUAAGCAUAUCAAUAAGCGGAGGA